CUGAAACACGGCAGUCUGUGUCAGCAUUCCUGGGAUUCCGGCACAUCACCUGGCCGCAGUCAGCAAGACUACCCUGCCUUCCUUUUUGGCUGAUCCGAAAACGCUGGUUUGGGCUUCAAGAGAACUGUUGUCAGUAGUUCUGCAACAACAAACCAGACAAAAACACGAUGGACCUGAGCUCACCUGUGCUUGCCCUCGUGACUGAGAGCGUUGUCCUCGUCCAGAGGGUGGAGCAAAGAGCAGGAAGAGGACAGACGGUGUUUCUUGUCGGCACGAUGGAGACGAGGAAGAACGCUCUGACGAAAAAGAUCCUUUGGCUUCCCCAACAGGAAAGGGUUGCAAGAUGAAGAUAGUUGUAUGUUAUUUUAAUUAUUGAACCUUUCAUCGUUUUUGUAAUGUACUAAAAUAACGUGUCAGUUUUUUUCUUAGUUUGAAUAUUUCCAAUGGGGCUAACGGUGUAAAAUGUCCACCAGAUUUCAGCAAUAACCCAAGUGCACAUGCUGAUCAAAAUCAAAGCACAUUAUUCAAUAAAUUAAGUUAUAUGUAAUGAAGUGGGAUGGUACA